AAAGAAUUAGUUAAAACUAAUAACGUUAGAAUGUCAACCUAAAAUUAUAAAAUUUAUAUUCUUUA
rnacentral:tRNA from 1 species